CAGUGGACCAAUGCAGAUCAUUUGCAUGAACUCAAAUCCUUUUGAUGAUCUGACAAUAUUUAUAACACUCUGACUUACAGACAAAGGACCUAAAACAACGAUGGCUCCUCUCCUACAGCUCUUCUGCACUCUUGUCUUCUUCACUCAGGAUUCUUUUGGUGAUAUUAUUAUGACACAAACACCCAAGGCCAUAUCAUUUAUGCCAGGAGACACCAUCAACAUCAACUGUAAAUCCAGCAGCAGUACCUCUACUUCUCGCUUGCACUGGUAUCAGCAGAAAUCUGGGGAGAAAAUUAAACUUCUCAUCUACAGCACAAGUUCACUUCAUUCUGAGACCCCAGCUCGUUUCAGUGGCAGUGGGUCAGAGACUGAUUUCACCCUAACCAUAAGUGGAGCCCAGGCAGAAGAUGCAGGAGACUAUUACUGCAAACAGUAUAAUAGCUACCCAGUCACACAGUGAUUGAGAGCUGAACAAAAACCUUCCUCCGCUCUUCUUUCAGUGAUACUUGAGGCAGCUGCUGAGGGGGAAGCGGCUGAGAUAAAGACAUGUUUGAGAAGGGCAAUAUGACAGCUUACCGUGGGUGUCACAGAGUAUAAAAAUGAAAUUAGAACAUUGAAAGAAAGUUGAAAGGUGGCCAUUAGGCUUAGCAGAAAUUCAGUAAUUUAUUAUAAACACAACCAACGGUCAUAGCAUUACAACAUGGGGAAUAAACAUGGAUUUUUGCAGAAAAGAAGGUUGCAAUGCUAUUAAUAGCUAUUGUUAACUAGA